rnacentral:lncRNA from 1 species
GCCAACAGAAAAGUUAGAAUGUGUCCUGCAGAACAAGCUUCUCUGCUCUCCCAAACCAGAUACGGUGUUGGAUCCAAGAGGAUGAUGAGCUCAUCACUGUUUUGUAAAUGGAAGCAGCCAUGCCACGUACUACAGUUUUGCCCAACUAGGACAUAACUAUCCAACCAUCACACAAGGACUGGAAUGCCACGGACUGCUCCGCCCUGAGGCCCCAGUUCUAACUGGCCAGGUGAACUUAAGUAGGUCACUUUUCUUGGCCUCUGUAACAGCACGACCAGCGUUGGACAACGUCUUCAUUGCUGGCAUUUUUUGAGUGUAUACAACACACUUGUAUAGUUACAGGAAAGUGUCCUUGCCCAUAUAUGUUAAUAUUUGCUGGAGUGUGGGCAGGGCAGUUUAAAGAAUGUGCGCACCAUUGACUUUUCACCCCCAAGUUAAUGGUUAACUUUGUCUCCUUGUUUGACUAUGUUGCUUGUUAGCUUUGCUCAAGAAGAAAAAUUCUGAAACUCCAAAUGAAAUGCUUGUAACAUUUACCUUUUUUCACCUUUACUUGCUACAGUUUAUUUCCAUUAAGUCAGGAUAGCUUUUCAAAAACAUGAUAUUUCAAAAAUACAGUAUUCCACUACAUUAUUUACUAUAUAAAUCUUGGAACAGAUGUCAAGUGUUCAAAAUAGAAGAAUUCUCUUUAUACGCUUGUGGUGUCUUUAAAGGUUAGAGACAUCUAUUGCAGCAAUCUAGAAAAAUCCUUCUUUGUAGGUAGCUCAGUAAAGUAAAGGUCUAUGACAGCACUGUGUAGUGGGAACACCUCGAACCUUGGGGUCACACAGACCUCAGUUCAAAUUCAAGUUCUAUGACCUUGGGCAAGUCACGUAACCUCUGGAUCUCAGUCUCAUCCCUGAGUGCACCUCAAAAUAGCCCCUUCAUAAAAUUGUUGUGACUUUUAAAGGCAUAUAUGUAAAAAUCCUGUGUGUAGUGAGGAGCCCAAUAAAUGUGACCCAACCUCCUCCCUCCUUUAGUCA